rnacentral:rRNA from 1 species
AACAGGAUUAGAUACCCUGGUAGUCCACGCCGUAAACGAUGUCGACUUGGAGGCUGUUCCCCUGAGGAGUGGCUUCCGGAGCUAACGCGUUAAGUCGACCGCCUGGGGAGUACGGCCGCAAGGUUAAAACUCAAAUGAAUUGACGGGGGCCCGCACAAGCGGUGGAGCAUGUGGUUUAAUUCGAUGCAACGCGAAGAACCUUACCUACUCUUGACAUCCACGGAAUUUGGCAGAGAUGCCUUAGUGCCUUCGGGAACCGUGAGACAGGUGCUGCAUGGCUGUCGUCAGCUCGUGUUGUGAAAUGUUGGGUUAAGUCCCGCAACGAGCGCAACCCUUAUCCUUUGUUGCCAGCGAUUCGGUCGGGAACUCAAAGGAGACUGCCGGUGAUAAACCGGAGGAAGGUGGGGAUGACGUCAAGUCAUCAUGGCCCUUACGAGUAGGGCUACACACGUGCUACAAUGGCGCAUACAAAGAGAAGCGACCUCGCGAGAGCAAGCGGACCUCAUAAAGUGCGUCGUAGUCCGGAUCGGAGUCUGCAACUCGACUCCGUGAAGUCGGAAUCGCUAGUAAUCGUGGAUCAGAAUGCCACGGUGAAUACGUUCCCGGGCCUUGUACACACCGCCCGUCACACCAUGGGAGUGGGUUGCAAAAGAAGUAGGUAGCUUAACCUUCGGGAGGGCGCUUACCACUUUGUGAUUCAUGACUGGGGUGAAGUCGUAACAAGGUAGC